ensembl:lncRNA
UAAAAAACUGAAUUUGAUAAAUUAAUUUGCGUACUACUAAGCUGUUUUUUCAACCCACAAUGGCGGAAGGAGGAGAAGAUAUCGAUUUGGUCAAGGAUAUAAUUAUAACGCCAUUCUCAAGACGAACUUUUCAAGAAAAGUUAAACAUUGUAUGGAGAGGUCGCCCAACGCCGACGCUACAAAGCCUGUCACAAGCGGGAAAGGGGUUCGUUCGCCACUUUCAAAGUUCCAACUACGAGCGCUAUCAAUGGCUCACAGGCUCCAAGAAGCACUGCAAACUGUACUGCUGGGAAUGCCUAUUAUUACAAUUGAGCGAGAGAGAGGCGCAGGUUCAGUCAAAUCUACGAUGACACAAAGCGCAUCUCAAGUUUACCCAGCGCUCAGCACAAGGAGACCCUCGCACAUACCAACAACUCCACAGCAAUAUUCUGGACAACAUUUUUGCCAGAAACGAAACAGGUUUCAAGACCACGAAAAAUGUGUUUCUCUCCCUCCUGGACCCCCAGCACUUUCAGACCUACCGGAAAAAAAUUCCCGCAAACAGUCUUCUCCAGCUUAACAGAGUCACGGAACACUGUUCGACCUAUCCAAGCUAAAAACAGAACUGACUGUAAUGUAUGCUAUGACUGAUUUUGAAGGGAAAAGUCCCUCUGAUCUCCUUGAUUUCCUUAAGCAGAAACAUCUGAGUGAGGGCAUGGGGCAACUUUACACAUUGGCAUGUGUGACAGUGACUAUCCCUGUGUCCACGGCUUCUGUCGAGCGGUCAUUCUCGGCCUUAAAGCGAAUCAAAACGUAUUCCAGAAAUGCUACUGGACAGGCUCGGCUUUCAGCAUUAGCCUCCAUGUCGAUAGAAAGGGACUUAUUGGUGGAACUAAAACGCACAGAUAGACUGUACAACAGAGUCAUUGAAGUCUUCUUGAGGAAAGAAAGGAGGAUGGAUUUUGUGUUCAAAUAAUCAGUCUUUGGUGAGUAGGCAUACAAUGCAUUUGAUUUUUUAUUAAAUGUGUAUGUAUGUUUCGCAUUUUAUUUCGUUAAUAUUAAAUAGCCUAUAUAUUAACAAAAUAAAAUGGCAAAUUUAUUUGUUUUCUUUUUAUUUUCAGUGAAUAGUUUGUCUUUAUCAUCACGGUGAAACUGCUUUGGGUGCGACAAUGCGCUGUUUAGUGAACACACUGUAUUUUAUUUUUUGGGGACUUAAAGCUCAAAGUUUGUGGACCAGAAAUGGAUAGAAGAAGAAUAUUAAUAUAACUCUUUUGCACUCGACUAUGUUCUUGCCUAUUAGUUGAACUGUACUGUAUUGUACUCUUCCCCUGCAAUUCUAUGAAUAAAAAUGUCAAUUUCAAGGUGACGCAACGCCUGGUUAUACUGCGUUUCUAUCUAAAUGUAUAGUGUCUAGAGCCAUGGCAUCAUAAUGAUGGUAAUACGAGGUGGAUUCAUUCGGGUGGGACUGUGUAGGACCUCACUGAAGGCCCACGGCACGCCACUGCGAACCAGUGCACACAUCAACAACAGUCACCCACGAAGCAUCGUUACCCAUCGCUCCACAAAAGCCGCGGCCCUUGCAGAGCAAGGGGAACCACUACUUCAAGGUCUCAGAACCACUACUUCAAGGUCUCGGUGACGUCACCGAUUGAAACGCUAUUUAGUGCGCACCACGGCUGACUAGCUAGCCGUUUCACAUCCGUUACAUAUGCAGAACUGAGCGAUUUCUUCUCUGGGCCAGCGGUUUUUGGUCUUCAUUUAACGUUCGAGGUACGCAUUAGGGUUAGCAGUGUGGAUAAGGUUAGGUUUAAAAUCCGUUUUUAUGACUUUGUGGCUGACGUCUCUGCAGAACUGCCUCCAAGGUUGUAUUUGGAAAAAGUUGCAAUGAAGGACAUGUGUUUCCUGUGUAACGACACAAAGUGCCCAGAGGUGACAAAAUGUUUUGAUCAUAAUGGUGACCUGAACCAGAAUCUGCUGACGAUGCCAGGUCCUUUCCAGCAAUGCACAUCCACCCCCUAUCCUCCUUCUGGGAGGUGCACCAUUUGUAGUCUGGAUUAUUAUUAUUACACGCUGUGCAGAAACGUCUCAGAGAGCAUCCAGCCUGCCCUGGAGGCCAACAGCACAGCCAUUACCAACUAUGAACAAGCCAAUUGCCCUGUCAUCAGCAUCGCACCAACUACUGUGAAUGGUUCAGACUUCACUGGAGCUGCUGCUCAAUAUGGACAUCCUGGGGGUGAACUGUGGUGGUGUUUACUGAUCCUCGUCCUGGUCGUUGUUUGCAUUGGCAUCAUUGCUUACAGGUGUAUCAAAAAGCGCAAAAUAGAAAACCUUGUCAUAUAAGGCACUCAGGACUACCCAUCCCUUAGCCAAGCUAUUUGGACCCAACCACCAGAGACUGGGACAACCCUCAGGACUACCCAAACCCCCAGAUCAGGAUGCUGCUGCAUUAUCUCUGCCUUAAUUCCAUCACUUUAACUCUUCUUAAAGUUGUAAUCUUUUAAUACAUUUUCAUAUUCAGAUUCUUGUCAAUCACUACCAUUAAACUAGUGCCUUG